GCCUGAGGUGUGAUGCCGAGCCGAUUGUGGCGAAGUGGGUGAUCCUAUGCUGCCGAGAAAAGCCUCUAGUGAGUGUCGCGGCGGCCCGUACCCGAAACCGACUCAGGUGGUCAGGUAGAGAAUACCAAGGCGGUCGGGUGAACUGUGGUUAAGGAACUCGGCAAAUUGCCCCCGUAACUUCGGGAGAAGGGGGACCUUUACUGGUGAUCGGACUUGCUCCGUGAGCUGGUGGGGGUCGCAGUGGCCAGGGGGAAGCGACUGUUUACUAAAAACACAGGUCCGUGCGAAGUCGUAAGACGAUGUAUACGGACUGACGCCUGCCCGGUGCCGGAACGUUAAGGGGACCGCUUAGCGCCUUUCGGGGUGCGAAGGUGAGAACUUAAGCGCCGGUAAACGGCGGUGGUAACUAUAACCAUCCUAAGGUAGCGAAAUUCCUUGUCGGGUAAGUUCCGACCUGCACGAAUGGCGUAACGACUUCCCCGCUGUCUCAACCACAGGCCCGGUGAAAUUGCAGUACGAGUAAAGAUGCUCGUUUCGCGCAGCAGGACGGAAAGACCCCGGGACCUUCACUACAGCUUGACAUUGGCGUUUGGAGCGUCUUGUGUAGGAUAGGUGGGAGACUGGGAAGCUCCAACGCUAGUUGGGGUGGAGUCAUUGGUGAAAUACCACUCUGGUCGUUUUGGACGUCUAACCCGCGCCCGUGAAUCCGGGUGGGGGACAGUGUCUGGUGGGUAGUUUAACUGGGGCGGUUGCCUCCUAAAAGGUAACGGAGGCGCCCAAAGGUUCCCUCAGCCUGGUUGGCAAUCAGGUGUCGAGUGUAAGUGCACAAGGGAGCUUGACUGUGAGACUGACGGGUCGAGCAGGAGCGAAAGCUGGGACUAGUGAUCCGGCAUCGGCGUGUGGAAGCGGUGUCGCUCAACGGCUAAAAGGUACCCCGGGGAUAACAGGCUGAUCUUCCCCAAGAGUCCAUAUCGACGGGAUGGUUUGGCACCUCGAUGUCGGCUCGUCGCAUCCUGGGGCUGGAGUAGGUCCCAAGGGUUGGGCUGUUCGCCCAUUAAAGCGGUACGCGAGCUGGGUUUAGAACGUCGCGAGACAGUUCGGUCCCUAUCCGCUGCGCGCGCAGGAGACUUGCGAGGGGCUGUCCCUAGUACGAGAGGACCGGGACGGACGAACCUCUGGUGUGCCAGUUGUUCCGCCAGGAGCACGGCUGGUUGGCUACGUUCGGUAGGGAUAACCGCUGAAAGCAUCUAAGCGGGAAGCUCGCCUCAAGAUGAGGUCUCCCACCACCUUGUGUGGGUAAGGCCCCCUAGAGAUGAUGGGGUUGAUAGGCCGGAAGUGGAAGCGCAGUAAUGUGUGGAGCUGACCGGUACUAAUAGGCCGAGGACUUGACC
rnacentral:rRNA from 1 species